UACGGAGGGGACUAGCGUUGUUCGGAAUUACUGGGUGUAAAGCGCACGUAGGCGGAUUUGUAAGUCAGGGGUGAAAUCCCGGGGCUCAACCUCGGAACUGCCUUUGAUACUGCAAAUCUCGAGUCCGGAAGAGGUGAGUGGAAUUCCUAGUGUAGAGGUGAAAUUCGUAGAUAUUAGGAAGAAACACCAGUGGCGAAGGCGGCUCACUGGUCCGGUACUGACGCUGAGGUGCGAAAGCGUGGGGAGCAAACAGG
rnacentral:rRNA from 1 species